GUUACAUAUCUUAGUAUCAUCAGCAAAAAGACAUACCUUACCAUCAAGACCUUCUGCAAUAUCACUAAUAAAAAUAUUAAAGAGAAUGGGUCCAAGUACAGAUCCCUGAGGUACCCCACUGGUGACAAGUCCAAGCUUCGAAUAUAUCCCAUUAACUACAACCCUCUGUUGCCUGUCACUCAGCCACUGCCUUACCCAUUCAACAAUAUUGGAAUCCAAACUUAAAGAUUGCAGUUUAUUGAUAAGCCUUCUAUGUGCAACAGUGUCAAAAGCCUUACUGAAAUCUAGGUAAGCAAUGUCUACUGCACCACCCUGAUCUAUAAUUUUAGUU